rnacentral:rRNA from 1 species
GACGAACGCUGGCGGCGUGCCUAACACAUGCAAGUGGAGCGACGAACCAGGCUUCGGCCUGGGGCAAAGCCGCGAACGGGUGAGUAACACGUGGGUAACCUGCCCUGAUGAUUGGGACAACCCGAGGAAACUCGGGCUAAUACCAAAUGUGCCCUUCGGCCAUAAGGCCGCCGGGGAAAGGAAGCUUCGGCCUCCGCAUCUGGAUGGGCCCGCGGCCCAUUAGCUUGUUGGUGAGGUAACGGCUCACCAAGGCGACGAUGGGUAGCUGGUCUGAGAGGACGAUCAGCCACACUGGGACUGAGACACGGCCCAGACUCCUACGGGAGGCAGCAGUGGGGAAUCUUGCGCAAUGCGCGAAAGCGUGACGCAGCAACGCCGCGUGGGGAA